GAGCGGCAAGUUGAGAAGCAAUUCGAGACCUAGAGCGGCGUACGGGUGCGUAACGCGUAUGCAACCUACCUCAUACAGGGGGAUAGCCCGGAGAAAUCUGGAUUAAUACCCCAUGGCACACAGUGAAGGCAUCUGAGUUGUGUUAAAGAUUUAUCGGUAUGAGAUGGGCAUGCGUCUGAUUAGCUAGUUGGCGGUGUAACGGACCACCAAGGCGACGAUCAGUAGGGGUUCUGAGAGGAAGGUCCCCCACACUGGCACUGAGAUACGGGCCAGACUCCUACGGGAGGCAGCAGUAGGGAAUAUUGGGCAAUGGUCGGAAGACUGACCCAGCCAUGCCGCGUGCAGGAAGAAGGCGUUCUGCGUUGUAAACUACUUUUAUCUGGGAAGAAAAGGCCCAUGCGUGGGACAUUGCCGGUACCAGAUGAAUAAGCACCGGCUAACUCCGUGCCAGCAGCCGCGGUAAUACGGAGGGUGCAAGCGUUGUCCGGAUUUAUUGGGUUUAAAGGGUGCGUAGGCGGCUAUUUAAGUCAGCGGUGAAAGACUUCGGCUUAACCGGAGCAGUGCCAUUGAUACUGGAUAGCUUGAGUGUUGGAGGGGUACAUGGAAUUGAUGGUGUAGCGGUGAAAUGCAUAGAUACCAUCAGGAACACCGAUAGCGAAGGCAUUGUACUGGCCAACAACUGACGCUGAGGCACGAAAGUGUGGGGAUCGAACAGGAUUAGAUACCCUGGUAGUCCACACUGUAAACGAUGAUUACUCGCUGUUAUGCUGUAGAGUGUAGCGGCCAAGCGAAAGCGUUAAGUAAUCCACCUGGGGAGUACGCCGGCACGGUG
rnacentral:rRNA from 1 species